rnacentral:lncRNA from 1 species
UCUACAAUCCGAUAUGGGUGCUGCCCCCGAACAGAGUGUUCGAACAGAUGAUGGAUCUCAAAAAGCGCAAUCCAAAGCUUAAAAUUUUGCUUGCCGUGGGUGGCCCUCACGACCCGCUAGAAAAGUAUUGGCAGUUCAUCCCAGUGGUUUACUACUGGAAGGACAUGACAGAGAGUCUGGCGCAGUGGUUGAGGGCGUACGACUUCGACGGCGUCGUCCUGGACUUCUUUUCCGGCACGUCGUCGCUUCAGGACACUGCCCGCAAUUGGGACAAUUAAAGCGAAGUUCAUUCAUCCAUUUGUCAGGCAAAUCAACUAUGAUCUGCAAGAGCACAAAAAGGUAUGGAGUAUCACGCUGACCCUGCCGGCUUUUGACAGCACCACUCACCAUCUCUUCGACAUCGAGAGGCUAACGCAUGAAGUCAACUUUUUCUUGGUGAAAUCUAACGACUGCCUCGAAUUUCCAAAGGGCGCAUUGCUAAACGUUACAAGGACAAUGGACAUG